CCACUCUCUGGUCCGCGCAUGGUGAACAUCAAUCGGGCAACACCCACAUUUUCCCCUCCAUGAUCUGCUCGCACUCUACAAGAAAUAGCACAAGGAACUGCAGUAGCAAGAGGUACUUGGGGCAUGGAACAGAGUAUGUGCGCCUUACAACACAUCCCAGCUGAGUCAUCCUUGACACAACCCCAAGGCUGUCCACUCUGUGCAUUGCUGCCCUGAUGCGAUCCCACUGAACCUGAUGGCCUAGUCUUCCAAGUGCUCCCCUCAUUGUUCUGUAGCCUGAGUGUGGCCACCACUGUUUUACCUGAGACACCAGUUCAUCAAGCUCAGCAUCUGAACACCUACUGUACUGAGCUCGCUUGCCAGGCAGGUUAUGGGCAGCCAUGGAUCUAUACAGUGUUGCACGGGACACCCCCAGAAAGUUGGCAAUUGUGAUCACUGGGUGUCCGUUUUCCAUCAGAUGCUGUACAUAAUCCAUAUUGAUUGCGAUUUUUGGUCGCCCACUCCUAGGACAUCUUUCAAAAUGAAUUGGCAUUGGGACCUGGGAUCAUAGAGCUGCUAUCAUACCUGGCUAACACUCGCAGACGUCGAGUCAACACCUGCUAACGUCUGUAUACUGACC